rnacentral:rRNA from 1 species
AAUUCCGUCGGAAUCUGGGAGGACCAUCUCCUAAGGCUAAAUACUCUCUAGUGACCGAUAGUGAACCAGUACCGUGAGGGAAAGGUGAAAAGCACCCCGGAAGGGGAGUGAAAUAGAACCUGAAACCGUGUGCUUACAAGUAGUCAGAGCCCGUUAAUGGGUGAUGGCGUGCCUUUUGUAGAAUGAACCGGCGAGUUACGAUUUGAUGCAAGGUUAAGCAGUAAAUGUGGAGCCGUAGCGAAAGCGAGUCUGAAUAGGGCGUUUAGUAUUUGGUCGUAGACCCGAAACCAGGUGAUCUACCCUUGGUCAGGUUGAAGUUCAGGUAACACUGAAUGGAGGACCGAACCGACUUACGUUGAAAAGUGAGCGGAUGAACUGAGGGUAGCGGAGAAAUUCCAAUCGAACCUGGAGAUAGCUGGUUCUCUCCGAAAUAGCUUUAGGGCUAGCCUCAAGUGAUGAUUAUUGGAGGUAGAGCACUGUUUGGACGAGGGGCCCCUCUCGGGUUACCGAAUUCAGACAAACUCCGAAUGCCAAUUAAUUUAACUUGGGAGUCAGAACAUGGGUGAUAAGGUCCGUGUUCGAAAGGGAAACAGCCCAGACCACCAGCUAAGGUCCCAAAAUAUAUGUUAAGUGGAAAAGGAUGUGGCGUUGCCCAGACAACUAGGAUGUUGGCUUAGAAGCAGCCAUCAUUUAAAGAGUGCGUAAUAGCUCACUAGUCGAGUGACACUGCGCCGAAAAUGUACCGGGGCUAAACAUAUUACCGAAGCUGUGGAUUGUCCUUUGGACAAUGGUAGGAGAGCGUUCUAAGGGCGUUGAAGCAUGAUCGUAAGGACAUGUGGAGCGCUUAGAAGUGAGAAUGCCGGUGUGAGUAGCGAAAGACGGGUGAGAAUCCCGUCCACCGAUUGACUAAGGUUUCCAGAGGAAGGCUCGUCCGCUCUGGGUUAGUCGGGUCCUAAGCUGAGGCCGACAGGCGUAGGCGAUGGAUAACAGGUUGAUAUUCCUGUACCACCUAUAAUCGUUUUAAUCGAUGGGGGGACGCAGUAGGAUAGGCGAAGCGUGCGAUUGGAUUGCACGUCUAAGCAGUAAGGCUGAGUAUUAGGCAAAUCCGGUACUCGUUAAGGCUGAGCUGUGAUGGGGAGAAGACAUUGUGUCUUCGAGUCGUUGAUUUCACACUGCCGAGAAAAGCCUCUAGAUAGAAAAUAGGUGCCCGUACCGCAAACCGACACAGGUAGUCAAGAUGAGAAUUCUAAGGUGAGCGAGCGAACUCUCGUUAAGGAACUCGGCAAAAUGACCCCGUAACUUCGGGAGAAGGGGUGCUCUUUAGGGUUAACGCCCAGAAGAGCCGCAGUGAAUAGGCCCAAGCGACUGUUUAUCAAAAACACAGGUCUCUGCUAAACCGUAAGGUGAUGUAUAGGGGCUGACGCCUGCCCGGUGCUGGAAGGUUAAGAGGAGUGGUUAGCUUCUGCGAAGCUACGAAUCGAAGCCCCAGUAAACGGCGGCCGUAACUAUAACGGUCCUAAGGUAGCGAAAUUCCUUGUCGGGUAAGUUCCGACCCGCACGAAAGGCGUAACGAUUUGGGCACUGUCUCAACGAGAGACUCGGUGAAAUCAUAGUACCUGUGAAGAUGCAGGUUACCCGCGACAGGACGGAAAGACCCCGUGGAGCUUUACUGUAGCCUGAUAUUGAAAUUCGGCACAGCUUGUACAGGAUAGGUAGGAGCCUUUGAAACGUGAGCGCUAGCUUACGUGGAGGCGCUGGUGGGAUACUACCCUAGCUGUGUUGGCUUUCUAACCCGCACCACUUAUCGUGGUGGGAGACAGUGUCAGGCGGGCAGUUUGACUGGGGCGGUCGCCUCCUAAAAGGUAACGGAGGCGCUCAAAGGUUCCCUCAGAAUGGUUGGAAAUCAUUCAUAGAGUGUAAAGGCAUAAGGGAGCUUGACUGCGAGACCUACAAGUCGAGCAGGGUCGAAAGACGGACUUAGUGAUCCGGUGGUUCCGCAUGGAAGGGCCAUCGCUCAACGGAUAAAAGCUACCCCGGGGAUAACAGGCUUAUCUCCCCCAAGAGUUCACAUCGACGGGGAGGUUUGGCACCUCGAUGUCGGCUCAUCGCAUCCUGGGGCUGUAGUCGGUCCCAAGGGUUGGGCUGUUCGCCCAUUAAAGCGGUACGCGAGCUGGGUUCAGAACGUCGUGAGACAGUUCGGUCCCUAUCCGUCGUGGGCGUAGGAAAUUUGAGAGGAGCUGUCCUUAGUACGAGAGGACCGGGAUGGACAUACCUCUGGUGUACCAGUUGUCGUGCCAACGGCAUAGCUGGGUAGCUAUGUGUGGACGGGAUAAGUGCUGAAAGCAUCUAAGCAUGAAGCCCCCCUCAAGAUGAGAUUUCCCAACUUCGGUUAUAAGAUCCCUCAAAGAUGAUGAGGUUAAUAGGUUCGAGGUGGAAGCAUGGUGACAUGUGGAGCUGACGAAUACUAAUCGAUCGAAGACUUAAUCAAAA